ACCAUCUGAAAUUCUAAUUGCAGGGGAUCUGGCAACGUCUUCUAGUUCCUGAAAGUACCCAGGGUGCACGUAGUGUGCAGACAUACCUGCAGGCAAAACAUACAAACAUAAAAAUUAUUUUUAAAUAUGUUUGUUAAAAUGUAAUUUUAAUGUAUGUUUAGCAUACAUUAAGGAUGUAUGUUAAAUAUUUUUAAUGGGAGCACUAAGGAUGUAGCUUUUUUUUUCGUCUGUUUGAAAUGUCAGGAAUAUUGUUCUAGAAAAGGAGAGCUUGAUCCGAGACUAGAUAAAACAAGGGAGAACAUUCUAUGUGUGUCUACAGACUUAUGUGUGAUCAGAGCGGGCAUGGGUGGUGAUGUGAAGCUGGGACCAGUGGUGCAGAGGAAGAGGGACGAGGCAGAUCCAGGGAAGGAGGCUGGCAUCCAAUACAAGAGAGCUAUCUAUGUGUGCUAGGUCUUCCCUAGGAUUUGGUGAAAUCUUUUGCUUAGUUUUGUUUGGGAAAAGUUCUUAUAAUGUAGUCUAAUCUGGCCUGGAAAUUGCUAUGUAGUCCAGGCAAGCCUUCUCCUGCCUCAGCCUCUGGAAUGCGGGGAUUAUAGGCUUGUGACAUCACACCAACUUCCCUACAAAAUUCGAAAAAAAAUAUCAUGAUUAGUGCUGUGUUGUAGAGAGAGCUAGCCGAUUACAAUAUGAAGGGUGAUUUUUGAGACAAAAAUUAGCUCAGUGAGGAGAGAACAGAAACCUUCAGGAAGGCAGUAAUGGAGACACAAAGCUAGAGCCAAGGCUGGGGAUCAGAAGAGAAGGACAGGUUCUGGUUUCUGACUUGGAUGAGCAAAGAGGAGAGUGAAGUCACUGGGGACAAGCACACUGGAGUAUUGUAUGGGCAGGAAGCGUCUAAAUUAGAGAGGCUGGGGCACAGGAUGGGGUGGGGGGUUAGGGUUCAUAGAUUGGAGAAUAUUAGGUAGUUCUUGCCCAUAGAAUAUUUUAUGAAAACGUUACGGAAACACGGAGCUCAAGAGUAAGCUCUGGAGACCUGUUGAGGUGGGCUUGGUGGGUGGAGCCAUGGCGUAGGCUGGGGUUGCAUGGGACGCAGUGGCUGAGGACCAGGCAUGAUUAGCAAGGGAGCCUCUUGAGGCUUCACUGUUCCUGACCACACAGGGUGGAGGAUUCAGAGCAUAAGACAGAGCAACUGGGGAAGGAGAGUGACGGUGACCCUGUGGAUGGAGGUGAGCAUUCUAGCGUAGAAGGAGCUGGGAGUGGACGACGACGAUGAUGAUGAUGAUGAGGUUGUUGAUGAUUUUGAGAGAAAGCCAAGUUCCUCACAGAGCAGAGGCUUUCCAGUAGCCUCAGUGAGAAGAGUUCAUUUUCGGAGGGCAAGAUGCUGGCCAGUUCCUUUACCCACUCGGACAUCCAGUUCAAGCGUAUGUAACGAACUGGAAAGAAUGGGCAUCUGUCAUCCUCAAGAAUCCCAGGAAUGACAGACAGGCAGGCCUGCACCCAGCAGCUGAGGCACCCGGAGACCCAGGGCUCUGCACAGUUUCUAGCACUUCCUUCUCUAAGCUGCGCCAGCGCCUGCCUGAGCUGAGCCACGAGAGAGGCAUCUGUGAUACCUGAUGACAAUCAUCUCUGAUUAGAGUUCCACCACGCAGCCCAGGCGAGCUGGGCCACAGCUAAUUAGCAUGUGAGGCCAGCGUGCUGUUUACUGGAACUGUACUAACAAGUUGUAGCUUUUUCCAUCACAGGAGAGUCGUUGUCAGCCAGGAACCCUUCACUCCGUCAGUUUAGGGACAAGGCAGAUACUCCUUAUGCACUACCCCCACGACACAUUAAUGCAUUUGUGCUGAGAGUCACUUUCAGUCCAUGUUCCCACCUCUGUAAACUGUCACUUCUAGACAUGGUAGUAAAAAAUCUGGUGUUGUUCUAAGUGGUCUUGCACUUUUAAAUGAGUAUCUUUUAAAAUAAAAAUCUUGGCAUAUCA